rnacentral:rRNA from 1 species
UACAGAGGGGGCAAGCGUUGUUCGGAAUUACUGGGCGUAAAGGGCGCGUAGGCGGCCUGCUAAGUCGAACGUGAAAUCCCUGGGCUCAACCCAGGAACUGCGUCCGAUACUGGUUGGCUUGAAUCCGGGAGAGAGAUGUGGAAUUCCAGGUGUAGCGGUGAAAUGCGUAGAGAUCCGGAGGAACACCAGUGGCGAAGGCGACUCGCUGGGCCUAAACUGACGCUCAGACGCGAAAGCAUGGGGAGCGAACGGG